rnacentral:misc_RNA from 1 species
GGGUGUUAUCAACCACGACAGUGUUUCGCUCGACAAUCUGGGGAUAUAUAAGGACGAUUACUUAUCUUACCUAAAACAAGAUAUUAUGCUACUAGGCGCUGUUAUGCUCGAAGCAAAAGCUAUCUAUUAUGAUUUGUAUCAGGUCGACAUACUUAAUCGAUUAACAAUAUCUUCACUGGCCCUCUCCAUCUUUAGGCGUAAAUACAUAAACGAUAGUGAAAAGAAUAGGAUCUACAUCCUAAACGACAAUGAAGAACAAUUCAUUAGGAGUGGAUACUACGGCGGUCAUACAGAUGUAUAUCUACCUACGGGG